rnacentral:lncRNA from 1 species
CAGGUCCUUCAAGAAAAAAUGCAGAACAAGAAAUAGCAGUCAGAGUUCAGUCCUCAGUUUCCCCUUUUCUGAGGUCUGCGUGCCAGCAGAUCCAUUUGGUAGAGGUCUGGGUUUCUGAAAAAUAACUCAGGAACAUAUGUUAAGAUGUAUCUUCAGUUUCUAUAGGGAACCAAACAUCUCAUGGCUCUAAUUUUAUUGCUAUUGUUUUAUGGUAUGAUUACCUUUUUACUUAUGAAGUUGCUCAUUAAUUUCUCAGGGAUAGCUAGGUGCCUGCAAUUUUCCUUAAAGGAACUCAAGAUUUUUAUUUCCACACUGUGGAGGAGGGGUGGCGUGGCAAGCCCCUAAGAGGGAAUCCUCCUCCAUCUCACCCAGGCUAAACAGAGACAGAACAUUCAGACAGACCAGUGGGGCAGGGGAAUCUGCCGCACAUCCGCUGACAUACACAGAUGUAUACGGUAUUUUCAAGUCUGAUGAGAAAUGGUUUGGGUAUAUGUCAUUCCCCAGCACAGGCACCAAUAUCUUCCCAAGUAGUUUCCUUCCACUUUUACUAGUGCCUUCUCCCUGCCGUCCCCUCCAGGGUUCCUGCCGUUUCAUGCCAAUAAUUUAAUUACUCUCUUUGCAGAGGCUCAGUUCUACAGACAGCCUAAUUUGAGGUUUGCCUUACUCUUAAAUAUAUAUAUCGUUUCAAUGGAUUUAUGAAAGGGAGAAAAGAGUGCAGAAACAAUUAAGGCAUCAAAGACAAGCUCAUCCAAGCUCCCAAGGACAAAAAAAAAAAAAAAAAAAAAAAAAGAAAAAAAUGAAGGACCCAGCCAAGGACCUCCUCUUCCCUCUGUUCGUGCUCUCUGACAGUGACCAACACCAGGCUUUCUGGUCAAACAGCCUGAGCUCCUGGGCGGAUUUUCCUGGUGUUUUCAGCAGAAGGAACAGCUGUCCCGGGAUUUGCUGGUAUUCCCAGGGAGCUGGAACUGAAUUGUUGGCCAAACUGCAGAUGAUUCGUUUAAGGGUCGGAAUGAGAGACAGACAGGGCUUUCGGAGAUAAAUAAUGAACUCCACUGAGUUUCAGGCUGAAGAGAAGAGAGAGAC